GUGUUGUAUGAAAGGAGAGAAGGUUAGCACUCCCCUUGAUAAGGAUGAAAGAGGUCCUAAUGGCUUUAUAACACAUGUAUACAGUUAAGCCAUUGCAACCUACUCUUUGGCAUCUAACCAAGUUUUUUU